UGUCCAGGCUUCCGCAAUUGCAGCCACUACUGGAGAUCUUAAUCAAGGUUUCGGGUGGAUGGAAGAGACUGCCGUGACAAGUGUUUAAGAAACAUUUUUCCUUUCCCAGCCUAAUGUGGAGUGUUACAGCAAACGGUCUUCUGGCCAACCUGUAAUUAGAGUGCUACUUCAGGUCAUCGCAGUAAUUGAGAGAAACUUCACAUGAGAGCGUUGCAAUCUCACCAUGGACAAAAUGUCUCUUGACAUUUAAAGCCAACGGUUGAGGUCAGAGUUGAUCCAAACCAUCAUAAAGUUUAUGAGAUUACCACUUACCACAGUAGGAAGAUGGGAAAGUAACGUCUUCAGAAAAGAAAAAGGAAAAAAAAAAAAAAAGAAGACAAAUUCAACUCUGCCUCAAGCAUGAUGAACGAUGGAGUUGGGAUAUGAGCCUGGAAUAAAACAUAGCUUAUAUACUUUGCUGAGCUGCACAGAACAGGUGUUAUCCUGCCAACUCAUUAUAUCCGGGUGGUCUAAGGAUAUAACGAUUCAGGAUGCUGGGUUCUCCUGUUUCCUGGUGGUGCUGUUCAGGGUGUAUUCCCAGCUCACCAGCAGUGUUCCCAGAACAGGCUCUGGAUCCACCAACACCCUGACUGGCAUAUGGUGGUCACUGAAGAUGAAUGAAUGAUGACUCAUCAGUCUAGUCUAGAUUUAGUUGAUGAAAAACCACAUCAAUUUUCAUGAAGAAAAAGGAAACAUUUUAGUCAGUGAGAACGAACCGAUUUGGUGUUUUAUCAUCCUUGCAUUUGCCCAAUUUCUUUUGCUAUUAUGGGCUUCCUAAAGUCUUUGUCCUUCUGCUGAAAUCAUACGGUUACAACCGUGUGUCCAAAACGCAGCAGCUCUGUUAUAGGGAACUGGAGGCAUUCAAUAACUCUAGUGAGCACAUUUAUUAUGUUGCAUACAGCUUAUAAAAGUCAAUUAAUUCAGUGACUUUGGUGGGGUGUCAUCUGAUAUGCUAUUUCUUGCUAGCAAAAUGGCGCCUCUGGUUGUUAAUAUUACAAAUUAGGAGUUUGACACCAUCUCCAACGAAAUUAACAAUGCACCACUGACAUGAAUGGGUCAGAAAAUAACCGUGUUAUGGCACUAAACCCCACACCAGUGCUUUUUCUGUUACGUUCUAUGCUUCUAAUAUGCAAUGUGAUGUACACUGUAAGAUACAGGCUGGGAUAAGUCAGACCUAAUAGACUGAUGACAUUUCCAAUGAUUGUGUGCAGAUAAGAGGUCAUCCUCAUCAUCCGUCACUGUCUUCUAUGUCUUCAUUAAACAGGUUUUUCCUACAUUAGUGCCAGCUCAGCAAGUCCUCUCAUGAGCAAUGCUUAUUUUCUUUGAGUCCUACAGAGACCAUGUGGCUUCACACAUCCCAGAGUGUUGAAUUUUUCUUUGCUUUAAAGGUCAUUUACUGAUGCCUGCAUUUAUAUUCUAAUGCAGCCCAUGAAAAUAAACAGCCAGCUCCACCAGAACCCAUUUUGAUUGGCACAAUGAGAUUGCUCUUAGAAUUCAGCAUAACUAACUGCUAUGCCAAUAGCAACCCUGCUUUGUGGUCAACAACUAUGAACUAUGAUCAGCUGUUAUAUUCCAUUUAUGACAGUCAUAAUGAGGGAGGUGUAAAAGGAAACUGUUCCUUAAGUGGUUAAGUGUGAAUGCAAGUCAAAUUCCUGGGAAAAUUAAUAUGGUAAUCGGCCAGGAUGUGACCUAGUGCAUUUCCUGGGAUAUUAUAAGGCGCUGGGGUCACCAAUUGAUGGGGCAUGUUUG